rnacentral:rRNA from 1 species
ACGUGAUCUGAGUUCAGACCGGAGUAAUCCAGGUCAGUUUCUAUCUAUAAGAAAGUUUUUCUAGUACGAAAGGACCGAAAAAAUAUAGCCAAUGUUUAUAAUAAGCUAUCCCCCCAACUUUUGAACACAACUCAAAUAGCAAAUGCUUCAUUACUGCACCUCCAAACCAGAGU